rnacentral:rRNA from 1 species
AGGACGAACGCUGGCGGCGUGCUUAACACAUGCAAGUCACGGGGGCUCGCAAGAGCAACCGGCGAACGGGUGCGUAACACGUGAGCAACCUGCCGAUCUGAGGGGGAUAGCCGGCCCAACGGCCGGGUAAUACCGCAUACGGUUUUUGAGGGACAUCCCUUAGGAACGAAACCUCCGGGGCAGAUCGAGGGGCUCGCGGCCUAUCAGCUAGUUGGCGGGGUAACGGCCCACCAAGGCGACGACGGGUAGCUGGUCUGAGAGGAUGGCCAGCCACAUUGGGACUGAGAGACGGCCCAGACUCCUACGGGAGGCAGCAGUGGGGAAUCUUGCGCAAUGGCCGAAAGGCUGACGCAGCGACGCCGCGUGUGGGAUGAAGCAUUUCGGUGUGUAAACCACUGUUGCCCGGGACGAACAGCUCUUUUCGAGGAGCCUGACGGUACCGGGUGAGGAGCACCGGCUAACUCCGCGCCAGCAGCCGCGGUAA